rnacentral:rRNA from 1 species
UACGUAGGGGGCAAGCGUUGUUCGGAAUUACUGGGCGUAAAGGGUUUGUAGGUGGCCAACUAAGUCAGACGUGAAAUCCCUCAGCUUAACUGGGGAACUGCGUCUGAUACUGGUUGGCUUGAGUGCAGGAGAGGAACGCGGAAUUCCAGGUGUAGCGGUGAAAUGCGUAGAUAUCUGGAGGAACACCGGUGGCGAAGGCGGCGUUCUGGACUGCAACUGACACUGAGAGACGAAAGCCAGGGUAGCAAACGGG